rnacentral:lncRNA from 1 species
GUUCCAGUGACAUUUGGUGAGAAGAUUAUUCUUUCUCCAUGGAAUAUCCUUUAUAUAUUUCUCUAAAACCAGUUGAUCAUAUACAUAUGGGUUAUUGCUGGACUGACUGCUCUUUUCCUAUUUGUUUCAUUUACUUAUUUGUCUCUUUCUGCCAAUACCUGUCUUGAUUACUCUAGCUUUUAAGCAGUUCUUACAAUCAGAGAACACCAACUUUCUUCUUUUUAAAUAAUGCUUUGUCUGUUUGGGUUCCCUUGCUUUUCCAAGGAUAUUUUAGAAUCAGCAUGUUGAUUAAAUCCUGCUGAGAUUUUUUUUGAUUGGAAUUGCACUGAAUCUAUAGGUCAGUUUUGGGGAGAUUAAUGUCUCUCCAGAUUUGUAUGCAUGGCUAUCACUCCAUUUAAUUAGUUCUCCUUGGUUUAAUAUGCGCUUUGUACUUUUUAGAGUAGAGUUCUCACAGUCUUCUGUUAGAUUUAUAUUUAAACAUUUUCUACUUUUGAUGAUAAUGUAAAUGGAACUUUCAAAAACAAUUCUCUAAUUGUUCAUUGCUAGUAUAGAGAAAUGCAACUGAUUUUGUGUAUUGACUUUAUACCCUGCAACUUUUCUAGUUCUGGAAGUCUUUUUUGUGGAAUUAUUGGAGUUUUCUGUGAUUAAAAACAAUUUUAUUUCUUUCUUUAUAAACUUUGUUUUCCUUUUUCUUUUCUUGCCUUAUUAUUACUAACACUUGGAGGAUGGUGAAGUGUAGAAUUAAUGAGAGCAUGCAUCUUGUCUUGUUCCCAAUCUCAGGGGAAAGGGAUUAGGUUCUCAACAUUUUGGGGGGAUGUUUUAUCUUAUUUUAGCCAUGUAGAUAGGUAUACUAUAUCUUCCCUUCAACAUUUAGUGUGUUGUUAGUUGUAAGUUCUCGAGGGAUGCUUUUUAUCAGCAUUCGGAGGGUUCCUCAACCUAGAUGCCCUUCAAUAGGUGAAUGAAUAAAGAAACUGGUAUAUAUACACAAUUGAAUAUUACUCGGCAUUAAAAAAAUAAAAUUAUGUCAUUUGCAGGGAAAUGGAUGGAGCUGGAGAAAAUCAUGCUAAGCAAAAUAAACUGAUCCUCAAGAACUAAAGUCUGAAUGUUCUCCGUGAUAAGUGGAUGCUGAUCCAUAAUAGGGGGAGGAGGCAUUGGAAGAAUGGAGA